rnacentral:rRNA from 1 species
GAGGUUCGGUGUGGGCUCAGAUUGAACGCUGGCGGGAUGCUUUACACAUGCAAGUCGAACGGCAGCACGGACUUCGGUCUGGUGGCGAGUGGCGAACAGGUGAGUAAUGUAUCGGAACGUGCUAGUAGCGGGGGAUAACUACGCGAAAGCGUAGCUAAUACCGCAUGCGCCCUUCGGGGAAAACGCGAGGGACCUUCGGGCCUCGUACUAUUAGAGCGGCCGAUAUCGGAUUAGCUAGUUGGUGGGGUAACGGCUCGCAAGGCGACGAUCCGUAGCUGGUUUUGAGAGGACGACCAGCCACACUGGGACGAGACACGGCCCAGACUCCUACGAGGAGGCAGCAGUGGGGAAUUUUGGACAAUGGGGAAACCCUGAUCCAGCCAUCCCGCGUGUGCGAUGAAGGCCCUCGGGUUUGUAAAGCACUUUUGGCAGGAAAGAAACGGCACGGGAUAAUACCCCGUGCAGCGGACGUACCUGCAGAAUAAGCACCGGCUAACUACGUGCCAGCAGCCGCGGUAAUACGUAGGGUGCAAGCGUUAAUCGGAAUUACUGGGCGUAAAGCGUGCGCAGGCGGUUCGGAAAGAAAAGAUGUGAAAUCCAGAGCUUAACUUUGGAACUGCAUUUUUAACUACCGAGCUAGAGUGUGUCAGAGGGAGGUGGAAUUCCGCGUGUAGCAGUGAAAUGCGUAGAUAUGCGGAGGAACACCGAUGGCGAAGGCAGCCUCCUGGGAUAACACUGACGCUCAUGCACGAAAGCGGGGAGCAAACAGAUACCCUGGUAGUCCACGCCCUAAACGAUGUCAGCUAGCUGUUGGGGCCUUCGGGCCUUGGUAGCGCAGCUAACGCGUGAAGUUGACCGCCUGGGGGAUUACGGUCAUAGAUUAAAACUCAAAGGAAUUGACGGGGACGCACAAGCGGUGGAUGAUGUGGAUUAAUUCGAUGCAACACGCAAAAAGCUAUACCUACGCCAAGCCAUCUUGUCUGGAAUCCCGAAGAGAUUUGGGAGUGCUCGCAAAGAGAACCGGAACACAGGUGCUGCAUGGCUGUCGUCCGGCUCGUGUCGUGAGAUGUUGGGUUAGAAGUCCCGCAACGAGAGCGCAACCCUUGUCAUUAGUUGCUACGAAAGAGGGCACUCUAAUGAGACUGCCGGUGACAAACCGGAGGAAGGUGAGGAUGACGUCAAGUCCUCAUGGCCCUUAUGGGUAGGGCUUCACACGUCAUACAAUGGUCGGGACAGAGGGUCGCCAACCCGCGAGGGGCAAUCCCAGAAGGCCGAUCGUAGUCCGGAUCGCAGUCUGCAACUCGACUGCGUGAAGUCGGAAUCGCUAGUAAUCGCGGAUCAGCAUGUCGCGGUGAAUACGUUCCCGGGUCUUGUACACACCGCCCGUCACACCAUGGGAGUGGGUUUUACCAGAAGUAGUUAGCCUAACCGUAAGGAGGGCGAUUACCACGGUAGGAUUCAUGACUGGGGUGAAGUCAUGUCAAGGUAG